rnacentral:tRNA from 1 species
GACUAUAUAGCCAAAUGGUUAAGGCGGUAGUCUGCAAAACUACAGAUGUAAGUUCGAAUCUUACUAUAGUCU